rnacentral:rRNA from 1 species
UGAGUAACACGUAUCCAACCUGCCGUCUACUCUUGGACAGCCUUCUGAAAGGAAGAUUAAUACAAGAUGGCAUCAUGAGUCCGCAUGUUCACAUGAUUAAAGAUAUUCCGGUAGACGAUGGGAAUGCGUUCCAUUAGAUAGUAGGCGGGGUAACGGCCCACCUAGUCUUCGAUGGAUAGGGGUUCUGAGAGGAAGGUCCCCCACAUUGGAACUGAGACACGGUCCAA